rnacentral:misc_RNA from 1 species
AUGAGAACUUGCCCUCCGGGGUAGAUCUCCCACCCUCUGUUUACAUACUUUGUUGCUUUGGCAGGCCCGUCUUCGGACCGCCGGCUUCGGCUGGCCCGUGCCUGCCAGAGGAUUCAAAACUCUGAUAAUUAUGUCGUCUGAGUACUAUAUAAUAGUUA